rnacentral:lncRNA from 10 species
GGCUGAGGAGGCUGGCAUAUUGCAACUUCUCCAUCACACCUGAGGAUGCAGGAAAACUCCCCUAGUCUCAAAGUAAAAGAAAUGUUUUAGAACAAAACCACGGAAAUAGACCUCUCCCCAGGGCUGGAAGUCAGGGCUUGUGAUAACGUAUUUACAUCUUUUGAAAUAACGGAAUCUAGUACAAAUACAUGUUUCCUUCUACCAUUUUACAGAAUUGUCUUAUACCUCUUUUUCUAGUAGGUAAAUAUACAUAAAAGGGAGUCCUUUGGAGAACUGUUGAGACGGAUUUGCUGAUUGUCUUGCAUUAGGGAGCUAGGCUGAGGGGAAAAGAGGGGACUAAAUUUGAAUCUGCACUUCACUCACCCAGGAGUGAUCCCACAGAGCUGUGUCUGCCUAGAAGGGGCGACUUUAUCUAUAUCACCAAAGCAUCAUAAAAGGUGCAAUAGGACGGCUAGAGGGAACUGGAGCUGGAUAUUUCCCUUCUCUCAGAAAUGAAUGGCAGUAUCAUCAGAACAACCACCCAUAUGUUUUCCCAAAGCAAGACAUUGUGAGGUGUUAAGAGAUAUAUGCAGUAACAGAACUUCAGAAUGUUAGAGCCAUCUGGAAUAAAGACCGUAUUUCUCAGCCUCCCUUGCAGUAUGGAGAUGUUGCUGGACAAUGGCUGCCCCUUCAAGGACUAUUAUUUCCCAGCCUCUCCCCCUUGCAUCCAGGUAGACCCUGUUACCGAUGCAUGUCUACGUUACCUCUAGGAGACAGGUGGCUGACCCAUGCAUUGUACUGUAUGUCCACGGGCUUUCCAGGUUAAUUCUGCAUACGGGACAUAAUAAAAAGCACUAUUGCCAAUUCAUGCACUGAAACCUCCCAUGAACAUAACUUUGAAACAGAUUGAGGAUCUUCGAGAAAUGGUGUCUCUUGCCUGUCAUCCCAGCAGUUUAGGAGUCUGAGGUGGGAGGAUCACUUGAGACCAGAAGUUUGAGACCAGCCUGGGAAACAUAGUGAGACCCUGUCUCUACAAAAAGUAAAAUAAAUUAGCCAGUCAUCCUAGCUGCUAGAGAGGCUAAGGCAAGGGUACUGCUUGAGCCCAGGAGUUCAAGGCUGCUUUGAGCUAUGAUCAUGCCACAGCUUGGGUUACAGAGCAAGAUUCUAUCUCUUAAAAAAGAAAAAGAAAUAGAUGAAAAUCAAGGACUAUGAUGUUUUUAUUUGGCUAAAUAAAAUAUACUCAGCAUGAUACUGAGUUAUAUAUACUGUAUUCUUUCAUGUAUGACUGUAUAUUAAACUAAAUAAAUUAUUCCAGUUAUUCAAAUACUCUUAAUACAAUUUAAUAAAGAUCCAUGUCUGCAUCAGGCAUCCAUUGGCACAGAUUUUAAAACCUAUAAGAAAAAGUUUUCAAAAUUGUUUUCUUUUGUUAUUAAUUAUAUUGCAGAAAUGAGCACCAAUUUUCAAUUGUUUAUGUUAAAGUAUACAUUUUCAUUUAUCAUAAUCACAUUUCAUGGAUUCUUUAAUGUUUCUUAAAUGUACAGCAGUUUAAAAAAUAUAAGUAGACAAGGGCUACAAUGCUAGAUUUCUUCCUUUGUCUCUCAUCUCUUUGCAUAUUAUAAUGUAUAUUUCUAAUUCUUUAAGCUGCUUUAUUAUUUUUAGCUGAUAUGAAAUUUGCCAAUGCAUAGGAUAUGGUAUAAAUAUUGCUAUAAUAUUUAGAAAUUAGAAAUCCAGGAGGUGAUAGGUAUUCAGCAAAUGAUAGAGAAAGUGCCUAUUGCUAAAAAGACUCUUUUACGUCUAUUUUGAAAUAUUGGUCCUCUUUUGGUAUUAGAUCCUAGUCAUUUAGUAUGCAGAUUAACAUUUCAGAUCAUUAAAAUUAAAAAAAAACUCUCAAGUAUUAUUCUAAUUUCUUUAAAAUUCUCCUCAUUGUAUACCACUUUAUUUAUGGUAUGGCAGCACAUCAUAUGCUAAUUGCAUUAUAAACUUUUCUAAAAAUAAUCUGAAAUUCACUUUGAACCCUUUGACUUACUGUUAAUGAAAUUUUCCAAACAUUCCUAAACAUUCGUCUAUAAAAACAAAACUAUACUUCACCCAACGAGAAGAAUCUGCAGUUUGAAGGAUUUCUAAAAAAUAUUGGUUCACAGACUUUUUAAAUGUCACAUAUACAUUCUCAUCCAGUGUCAUUAAUUAUAAUUUUUAACAUGAUGUAUAAGUCAAAUCACUAAAUAACCUUAUAUAUUGAAUAAACAACAUAUCUGAAAAUUUUAUUUCCAUAUUUAUGGAUGUAAAGUCAAGAUAAUUUGUUUACCAAAAAACAACAAAAUAUUUAAAGUUAUUAUUUCAUCCUCUCUUUGCUUUAUACUUCUAGAUGUCUGAAGACAAAGACUAUGACAGGAACAUUUGUAAUUCAUGUGAUAAGUCUUCCAAUGACAAGUACAUUGAGUGAUUGAAAAUUAUAGAAAAUGAGUUACACAUUUAGAAAAGCUCUAAGUGAAUUGACAAUGGAAUAUUACUAGCAGAGGAUAUAAAAAUAUUUAACAAUGUACCUGUUAGCUGAAAGUAAAGUGACUUCUUAUAAUUACUCAAAGGUUGUGUUGUAUCACAAACAUUUUUAAAUCACUAUAUUAGUCAUAAUUUUUCACAUUAAUGAAAUUUCAAGAAACAGUUCCCUGUGGUAAAUAUAUGAAACUUAAUACAUUUAGUCAUUGCACUUAAUGCAUUUUAAUGAAUGUAAAUUUGUCUGUGUCACUUCAUUUCUUUCUUAAUGGUCAUUCAGUUUCCAGACACAUAUUAAUUAAAUAUCAUUAGUUUUAGAUAAAUAUUAUAUACUCUACCUAGUAACUGAAAAGAAUUUUAAUUUAAAUUUUGUGGAGAAAGCAUUUUUACUAGAAUUUCUGAAAUGAAAUUUUAUGUAUUCAUUUGGACUGAUUUUUUUCCUAGACAUAUCUUUUUUAUUAUGCAUUUUAUGUUUUUUAGUUUGUCAUUAAUUUGAUUAUUUGCUUUAUGAGAUCAUGUUAUCCUUUUAUACCGAUCUAACUACUUAAGUAUUUAUAGGCACAUUUUGCUUCUUUUCCAACGUCUCAAUGUAAGAAUCUUGUUUCAACACCAAUCGGAUCAGUUGCUACUUUUUCACUUUUAUGGAAUUGUUAUCAUAGAUAUUUCUAUGAAGCAUACGUUCCUGUCUUUGGUUUUCCCUUUUCAGUGUCUUACAUUAAAUUUUCCCCUCAGCUUCACUGCUUGGCUCUAGGUUAAGUUAAUGAUAAUCACCAAUUUUACUGUAUCUUCUAACAUAGUAGACCAAUGCUACUUUUUGUUGAUUACUCGUUGUUGCCUUAUCAGCAAGCCUUAAUCAACCACAGGAAUUGAAAUAUAGUGCUUGUUGUUGAGAUAAUAUUCUUUUGGCAUCUGACAAUAUUUGGCUAUAAAAUUGUGUUCAUUCAUUAAUGCUGAGAAGAAAUUUGGUAAGCUGCUCAUAUUUUCUCUGUUGAAUAAAACUAAACGUUUCAACUUUUGUUUUAAUCUGUAAAAUGCUUUCUUUGAAUGUAUUUUUACAUGGAACCCCAAUAUUUGAAAUACAUAAAAUUUAUAUCGUGUGGCUUAAACAGGGUUGGCUGUUCUUUUUCAACUGCCUUAGCUAACUCUGAAGGGAAUCAACAGAAAGGAAGAGAAAGAGACAGAGGGGGAGACAGAGAUGCAGAUAGAAUUGGAGAGGGUAAAGAGAAUGAAGAUGUGUGUGAUUCUUCUUUGAAUGACUCUAAUUUAUAUCAGGUUUGUCUGUUUGUAUAUGGAAUCACUAUUUAUCGUAUAUUUAUUAACACAGAAAUAGGUUAUUAAGUGAGAAGAACAAUAUAUUAUGAGGCUAUCUAUGCACACACACAAAAAUUCAGACACCAAUAAUAUUUUCAGUAUACAAUAUUGAGCAAGUUAUUUGCCCCAUCUCUUCCUUAGUCUGUCAUCUAUAGAACAGGAAGAAUAAUAAUAACAACUUCAUAAAACUUAUUAUAUGUAAAUAUAUUUAGAAUAAGGCUUGACAGCAUCUACAAAGGGUUCUGAAAAUAUUAGUCGUUAUUUUUCUGUCUGUAUGUUCUAUUCUUUAAUUUCUGAUUUUUCUACAUUAUUAUGUAUUACUUCGGUGAUAUGAAAACUUAUUUAAAAAGUGAAGAAUACUAGAAAGCAUGUAGAAUGUGUAAAAAUACUUUAUAAAAAAUAUAAGUGUUCCUGCAUUACGAAUAAUCCUCAAAUGCUGAAGUUAUGA